GAGAGGCCCUCGCACGGAAACUGGAGAGGAGCCCCCGGCUCGAGAAGGGCCACUGGCAGCAAGGAGGACCAGCGCAGCCAAAGAAAGGAGCAGGAAACACACACACGACAGAGUCGCUCUGCGGCACAGAAGUGAACACAGCAUCGUAAACCAGCUUCAACAAAACUUUUUAAAAAGACUCACCAGCUGCUCCCGUUUAGUGGCUUAAAAAAUGGUCUUGGUAGUGACUGCAAUGGUCUCCAGACACAGAGGCCGCUACAGCUUGAGACUUGAUCUUGACACACUCAUUCGGUUCCCUACUUUUUCCCCCAAGGCUCGAGGUUCAUCCACCUUGCUAGAACUGACUCAAAUUUGCUCCUUUUAUGGCUGAGUACUAUUCCUUUGUAUAUAUGUACCACAACUUCUUCAUCCAUUCAUCUGUUGACGGACAUUGAGGUUGCUCACUCUUAUCUGUGGUUCCGAUGACAUCUUGCCAAAAUGCAGGUCCAACAGGAUCCCUGGGGGACACUGGAGCUUUAUCACUCUGCCUGUAAAGACCAGUUUCCAGAUCCCUUUCGCAUUUCGUCUCUGAAGCGCAGCAGGCAGGACAGGGCAGGUGAAGGCUGCCAACGGCCACCCACCAGGCUGCGCCUGAACACAGCCCAGUGGUACAGACUUCCCUCAGCCCAUGGCUGGACCAGUCACAUCCUUUGAGCUCCUCAGAAAGGCUGAGUGAGAGACGCAGAGGAGGGCAUUACUCAGAUCAGCUUUGUCCUUAUCCAGGAGCCCUCAUGGCUCAGCAAUGCCCAGUCAGUGUCCCCCACCCGGGGCAGGCUGGUGAUGGAGCUGAUGGCGGCAGACUCUCCCGCUGGAGGGCCUGUGUGCUGCGGACUGAGGCCCGCUGGAUAGAACCCUACCUCGGGUCUUGGAGCCCCGGCUGCUCCCCUGUGGGGGCGCGGCUUACAGCCUGGGCCUGAAGCGUGGUCUGCAGGCCCUCCUUCCCGCGGUCCGUGCGCGCUCAUCCGUCAGCGCGGCUCCGUCCACCACGCUGCCACUCUGGGCUUCACCGGAGACAGCUGUGGUGCUCCCAACGGGUUCUUACGAGAACUCUCUCUCCCCACUUCUGGAAUACAGAAGGUCAGCUGCCUCCCCAAGACAGGCUUGGUCUGGAGGCGGGGGCCUCUUGAGCCUACCGGGCAGGCCUGAGCCAAACCACACACCCCGAGGGAUCAGCGGCCUUCUAGAGAUGCAAGGAGAUGGACUGAAGUCCCACUGUUGCCAGAGGAGGAAGAGAACCCCCAACAGCACUCUGCGCUCCCUUCUGCAGAUCUGAGGCUGCGCUGGGACACUUCACAGGCACCUCCCGGAGCAAGCAGCGAGCUGGGCUCUCGAUGAGGUCAGGAGCCUGGGCUUCAGACCAGCACCUGCAUCUCUGCUGUGGCCCCUCUCUUCACACCAGCUGUGUUGUGAUGCGCUGUUAGCUGAAAAAGGAAAACUGCUUACCCAACAGCAAGCACGUUCCAGCGAAUAGAUUUUGUAAUAUUUAGUAUCACUUAUAUUAUGAAUAUGUGUUGUACAGCUGUAUGCGUACAU
ensembl:lncRNA